UCUUAGUGUCAGGACGUUCAGAAGGUAGAAACGCAAGGGAACAACGGCAGAAGUGACAAAGACAAAGAAAUGUAGUGAGCAGAAGAUGAAGCCACACACAUGCUGGUGAUGGGAUACAAGCCGUGGAUAACACUAGAUGGCGCAGAUCCAGCGCGGCGCAGUCCACCCCAUCGGGACUGUAUUAGAUCUCUAAUUGAUGCCUCUCCCCUCGUCGCUGACAGUUACGCACAAACCAGGAUCAGGUCGCGGAAUUUAGCACGACCUGAAGAGGUGGCGUAGACCGCCUUCAGAGCCUACAGUGGAUUAAAAACAUAAUGAGAGCAUGGCUGAGAAAGUAAAACACACCAGGGCCAUAGGAAGAAGAAGAAGAGAAGAAAAAGAAGAAAUCUCACACAACUAAUUCUUUUUUUUUAACCAGUUUUGCUUUGUUUUAUUUGAUUAUUUGCUAUAUAAAAACAGUAUUAGUAAACGUAUGAAUUUAUAAAAGCUUGGACUGAAAUAAGUUUGAGGAUGAAAUAUAUAAACAUUACAAGCUGAAUAAUUUUUGGAUGAUCUUUCUUACUGUGCUGCACUUUGACUAAACCGUCCUGUAAGUAUAUUGUUAUGUUCGUGUCAAACAGGAAUUUUAUAUGAAUUAUUUCUCCAGUUCCCAAAAGGUCACAUUUCUCUGUGGUCAAUAAAGGUGUUGACA